rnacentral:rRNA from 1 species
UAGGGAAUUUUCGUCAAUGGGGGCAACCCUGAACGAGCAAUGCCGCGUGAGCGAAGAAGGUCUUCGGAUUGUAAAGCUCUGUUGGCCGGGGAAAAGGAAGGAAGAGGAAAUGCUUUUCUUUGGAUGGUACCCGGCCAGAAAGUCACGGCUAACUACGUGCC